rnacentral:rRNA from 1 species
CCUACGGGAGGCAGCAGUGGGGAAUAUUGCACAAUGGGCGAAAGCCUGAUGCAGCGACGCCGCGUGAGGGAUGAAGGCCUUCGGGUUGUAAACCUCUUUCAGCAGGGACGAAGCGCAAGUGACGGUACCUGCAGAAGAAGCACCGGCUAACUACGUGCCAGCAGCCGCGGUAAUACGUAGGGUGCGAGCGUUGUCCGGAAUUACUGGGCGUAAAGAGUUCGUAGGCGGUUUGUCGCGUCGUUUGUGAAAACCCGGGGCUCAACUUCGGGCUUGCAGGCGAUACGGGCAGACUUGAGUGUUUCAGGGGAGACUGGAAUUCCUGGUGUAGCGGUGAAAUGCGCAGAUAUCAGGAGGAACACCGGUGGCGAAGGCGGGUCUCUGGGAAACAACUGACGCUGAGGAACGAAAGCGUGGGUAGCAAACAGGAUUAGAUACCCUGGUAGUCCACGCCGUAAACGGUGGGCGCUAGGUGUGGGUUCCUUCCACGGAAUCUGUGCCGUAGCUAACGCAUUAAGCGCCCCGCCUGGGGAGUACGGCCGCAAGGCU